AUAAAUUGUUCUUAGUGGGGGAUUUUUCCCAAACUAUUUCCUGUCCCGAUACAAACAAAAAGAUGUAGAGAAGAACGAUACAACACAAAAAACACAACCUCUACUUUACUUUAAGCAGGCGACUGUACAGUGUGUGGAGUGGAAACCAUGCUUACUGUGAGAUGUAUUGUACCGACAGCAGGUAACACUACGGGUAACGCAACUUACUAAGGAAGAAGCAGGAAGGAUUUGAAAAAAAAGAGAAAAUGUGAAAUUUGUGCUUCGAAGACAAAAACAAUUUUUUUAAAUGCUAAGAAUCAUCCCAAUUCAGUUUCGUUUCACUCUCUACAUUUUUUCUUGUAAGGCGUAAUGCCGUAGUUUGACAAAAAACAGAUCCCAUGAGGUGAUUUGUAAGAUACAACACCCGUUGGUAUGCCUUUUAAUGUUUUUAAUAACAUGUCUUAAUGAUUUUUAUUGGGAGGACGGCUGAGAGAAAUUGACGGCAGUCAGUGCAUCCAUUCCUUCGUUGCACAUGUUGAUUUUACUUUUACUCGAGAAUAACGCCAGGCGGUUCUUUUUUUUAAGCAAUAACUACAUCAUUCGAACAUUAAUUAAUGCUUAUAAGAGCUCUUCAAAAGUAUCUAUAAAGGUUGAGCCAGCUGGUAUUUUUAUGUCGGCAACUUGAUACAAUUGUUGUGUAUGAUUAGUCGCUACAUAUUUAUUUCAUAGAUUUUCAGUGAAAAUCAAAUUUAUUUUUGGAUUCCUUCUUCAAAACUCAUAAACAGCCGUCAACUUGUAAACAGAGGCUCACUAAUAGAUGACGC